UUGCAGAACAAAAUUUGGGUUUACACUUUAUGGUGAACUUUCAAAUUCACAGCAUUUACAAUAGGAAUUCUUAAGGGGAAAUUCUUAAGAAAAAAAUAAUUAAAUAAUCAGUGGACCCCAUCAAAAAGCUAACGAUUCAAUUCUUAAAAUUCUUAAAUAAGAACUCUUUCUUAGUGAAUCCUUGCACUAUUUGCGGGUCUCCACGACAUGUGGCGAUUCGUGAUUGGUUGAUAUUUUUUUUAAAAAAAAAAUUAAUACUUAAAAAAUUAAAAUACACUUUUUCUAAGGACUCUUCUUUGGGUAACACCAUUGCGGAUGAUCUUAUUAACACAAAUCAAAUUGACACGUAGGAUUAGAAGAAAAAAGAAUAUUAAAACUAAAAAUAAAAUAAAAAUAGCUUAAGAAAAAAUAAAGAGAAAAAGACUAGGAUAACACCAAACCAAAUUUUUGUUCCCAAACUAGCACUCAAGGCUCAAAGUCACAAAAAUAAGUUUCAUUAAAGAGGUAAAUAUACACUUUUAUCCUUUGGGUAAAUUAAUCCAAACAUUAGGGUUUAGAGUUAAGGGGUGGGGUUUUGGAUUUAGGGUUUAAAAUUUUAUAAAAUAAAAAAUAAAUACUAAAAAAUUAAAAAUAAAAAUUUUAAAAACAGUUUCAAAAAGUAUUUUUGAAUUAUAAAAAGAAAAUUUCAAAAAAAAAAAAUUCAAAAAAAACAUUUCAAAAAAAAUUUCAAAAAAAAAAGUUAUAAAAAGUUUC
rnacentral:lncRNA from 1 species